rnacentral:rRNA from 1 species
AGACGGAGGGGGCAAGCGUUGUCCGGACUCACUGGGCGUAAAGGGCGCGCAGGCGGUGGGAUGCGUCGGCGCUGAGAGCGCCCGGCUUAACCGGGCGAGGCGCGGCGAUACGAUCCCGCUAGAGGCAGGGAGAGGUUGGCGGAAUUCCGGGUGUAGUGGUGAAAUGCGUAGAGAUCCGGAGGAACGCCUGUGGCGCAAGCGGCCAACUGGUCCUGACCUGACGCUGAGGCGCGAAAGCGUGGGGAGCGAACCGGAUUAGAUACCCGGGUAGUCCACGCGGUAAACGAUGUCGGCUGGGUGUUUGGCGCUGAUUACACCAGCGCGGAGUGCCUAAGCUCACGCGGUAAGCCGACCGCCUGGGGACUACGAGCGCAAGCUUAAA